AUUGAACGCUGGCGGCAGGCCUAACACAUGCAAGUCGAACGAGUGGCGGACGGGUGAGUAAUGUCUGGGAAACGGCCCGAGGGAGGGGGGUAACUACUGGAAACGGUAGCUAAUACCGCAUACCAUCGGAUGAGCCCAGGUCGGAUGAGCGAGGUGGUGGGGUAAAGGCCUACCCAGGCGACGAUACGUAACUGGGCUGAGAGUCUGAUCAGUCACACUGGAACUGAGACACGGUCCAGACUCCUACUGGAGGUAGCAGGGGGGAAUAUUGGACAAUGGGCGAAAGCCUGAUCCAGCCAUGCCGCGUGUGGGAAGAAUGUCUUCGGAUUGUAAAGCACUUUAAGUUGGGAGGCGUUACCAACAGAAUAAGCACCGGCUAACUUCGUGCCAGCAGCCGCGGUAAUUC
rnacentral:rRNA from 1 species